GAGUUUGAUCCUGGCUCAGAUUGAACGCUGGCGGCAUGCCUUACACAUGCAAGUCGAACGGCAGCAUGAUCUAGCUUGCUAGAUUGAUGGCGAGUGGCGAACGGGUGAGUAAUACAUCGGAACGUGCCCUGUAGUGGGGGAUAACUAGUCGAAAGAUUAGCUAAUACCGCAUACGACCUGAGGGUGAAAGUGGGGGACCGCAAGGCCUCAUGCUAUAGGAGCGGCCGAUGUCUGAUUAGCUAGUUGGUGGGGUAAAGGCCCACCAAGGCGACGAUCAGUAGCUGGUCUGAGAGGACGAUCAGCCACACUGGGACUGAGACACGGCCCAGACUCCUACGGGAGGCAGCAGUGGGGAAUUUUGGACAAUGGGCGAAAGCCUGAUCCAGCAAUGCCGCGUGUGUGAAGAAGGCCUCGGUUGU
rnacentral:rRNA from 1 species